GAGAUGAGGAGUUCCGCAAGGACAAGGAGCAAGGUGCCGCAUGGCCGUCGUCAGCUCGUGCCGUGAGGUGUUGGGUUAAGUCCCGCAACGAGCGCAACCCUUAUUUUUAGUUGCCAACAGGUCAAGCUGGGGACUCUAAAAAGACUGCCCGCGCAAGCGGAGAGGAAGGAGGGGAUGACGUCAGGUCAUCAUGGCCCUUACGUCCAGGGCUACACACGUGCUACAAUGGCGUCUACAAAGUGUUGCCAGGCAGCGAUGCCGAGCCAAUCACAAAAAGGACGUCUCAGUUCGGAUUGCAGGCUGCAACUCGCCUGCAUGAAGUUGGAAUCGCUAGUAAUCGCGCAUCAGCAAUGGCGCGGUGAAUACGUUCCCGGACCUUGUACACACCGCCCGUCAAGCGAUGGAAGUUGGAAGGACCUGAAGGCAGUUGUUGAAAGACGCUGUUUAGGGUUAAACCGAUGACUGGCGCUAAGUCGUAACAAGGUAGCCGUACCGGAAGG
rnacentral:rRNA from 1 species